rnacentral:rRNA from 1 species
UACGUAGGGUGCGAGCGUUGUCCGGAAUUAUUGGGCGUAAAGAGCUCGUAGGCGGCUUGUCACGUCGGAUGUGAAAGCCCGGGGCUUAACCCCGGGUCUGCAUUCGAUACGGGCUAGCUAGAGUGUGGUAGGGGAGAUCGGAAUUCCUGGUGUAGCGGUGAAAUGCGCAGAUAUCAGGAGGAACACCGGUGGCGAAGGCGGAUCUCUGGGCCAUUACUGACGCUGAGGAGCGAAAGCGUGGGGGAGCGAACAGG